rnacentral:lncRNA from 1 species
GCAACUUGGACGCGAUCUUCUCGUCCUUGAUCGUGUUCCUCAUGUUGUAAGAGUAGUUCUCGAGCGCGUUCUUCGCCUCGACCUUCUUCUUGUGCUCCUCGUCCUCCGCCUUGUACUUCUCCGCCUCCUGAACCAUCUUUUCGAUCUCGUCCUUGCUCAGCCGGCCCUUGUCGUUGGUGAUGGUGAUCUUGUUCUUCUGCCCGGUGGUCUUAUCCUCGGCCGAGACGUUCAGGAUGCCGUUGGCGUCGAUAUCGAAGCAGACGUUGAUCUGGGGCACGCCGCGGGGAGCGGGCGGGAUGCCGGACAGCUCGAAUUUGCCGAGGAGGUUGUUGUCCUUCGUCCUCGCCCUCUCACCUUCGUAGACUUGGAUCAAGACGCCGGGCUGGUUGUCGGAGUAGGUGGAGAAGACCUGCUCCUUCUUGGUGGGAAUAGUGGUGUUCCUCGGAAUGAGAACGGUCAUCACGCCACCGGCGGUCUCGAGGCCAAGGGAGAGAGGAGUGACGUCGAGCAGGAGGAGGUCCUGCACCUUCUCGUUGCCCUCGCCGCUCAGAAUCGCGGCUUGCACCGCCGCACCGUACGCCACGGCCUCGUCGGGGUUGAUGCUCUUGCA